UAAUACGGAGGGUGCGAGCGUUGUCCGGAAUCACUGGGCGUAAAGGGCGCGUAGGUGGCCUGUGGAAGUCUGCGGUGAAAGCCCGGCGCUCAACGCCGGGUCGGCCGUGGAUACUCUCGGGCUUGAGCUCACUAGAGGCAGAUGGAAUUCCGGGUGUAGCGGUGGAAUGCGUAGAGAUCCGGAAGAACACCGGUGGCGAAGGCGGUCUGCUGGGGUGAUGCUGACACUGAUGCGCGACAGCGUGGGGAGCAAACAGGAUUAGAUACCCUGGUAGUCCACGCCGUAAACGAUGGGCACUAGGUGCUUGGGGGAGCGACCCCCUGAGUGCCGUCGCUAACGCAUUAAGUGCCCCGCCUGGGGAGUACGGCCGCAAGGCUG
rnacentral:rRNA from 1 species